GACGAACGCUGGGGCGUGCUUAACCCCUGCAAGUCGCACGGAAAGGCCCUGCUUUUGUGGGGUGCUCGAGUGGCGAACGGGUGAGUAACACGUGAGUAACCUGCCCUUGACUUUGGGAUAACUUCAGGAAACUGGGGCUAAUACCGGAUAGGAGCUCCUGCUGCAUGGUGGGGGUUGGAAAGUUUCGGCGGUUGGGGAUGGACUCGCGGCUUAUCAGCUUGUUGGUGGGGUAGUGGCUUACCAAGGCUUUGACGGGUAGCCGGCCUGAGAGGGUGACCGGCCACAUUGGGACUGAGAUACGGCCCAGACUCCUACGGGAGGCAGCAGUGGGGAAUAUUGCACAAUGGGCGGAAGCCUGAUGCAGCAACGCCGCGUGCGGGAUGACGGCCUUCGGGUUGUAAACCGCUUUCGCCUGUGACGAAGCGUGAGUGACGGUAAUGGGUAAAGAAGCACCGGCUAACUACGUG
rnacentral:rRNA from 1 species